rnacentral:misc_RNA from 1 species
ACCGCAUGCCUCGCCCUCUUCCGAACUCUGGGGAGGAGCGGAGUUGACCGUCCGGAACCGCCGGCUGGCUAAGGCCGGGUGCGUUGCGGUCGGUUUAAAUGCAGCGUUCGAGACGUCGUCCGCUCAGGACGCGCGUGAAGGUGAUCCGGUUGCGUCUGAACCCCAAGGGGCUAAGCCCGUAGCCGGCAAUGGAUUGCGCCUCCUGUUCGGACUUUUGCCUUGGACGAGAAAAAAACAGGAACUUGCGAAUUUUCGCACCAAGCA